GCUGGGUGUGGUGGUGCACACCUGUAGUCCCAGCUACUCUGGAGGCUGAGGCAGGAGAAUCGCUUGAACCCAGGAGGUAGAGGUUGCAGUGAGUGGAGAUCCCACCACUGCACUCCAGCCUGGGUGACAGAGUGAGACUCUGUCUCAA
ensembl:misc_RNA Metazoa_SRP Metazoan signal recognition particle RNA